UCUCAUAUGGCUCAGUGGUAGAGCGUUUGAAUUACCAAUCGAAAGGUCAUGGGUUCGACUCCCAUUGAGAG